UACGGGGGGGGGCAAGCGUUUGUUCGGAAUUACUGGGCGUAAAGGGCUCGUAGGUGGCCAACUAAGUCAGACGUGAAAUCCCUCGGCUUAACCGGGGAACUGCGUCUGAUACUGGAUGGCUUGAGUUCGGGAGAGGGAUGCGGAAUUCCAGGUGUAGCGGUGAAAUGCGUAGAUAUCUGGAGGAACACCGGUGGCGAAGGCGGCAUCCUGGACCGACACUGACACUGAGGAGCGAAAGCCAGGGGAGCAAACGGGG
rnacentral:rRNA from 1 species